rnacentral:rRNA from 1 species
UAGAGUUUGAUCCUGGCUCAGGACGAACGCUGGCGGCGUGCUUAACACAUGCAAGUCGAGCGGUAAGGCCCUUCGGGGUACACGCCCGGCGAACGGGUGAGUAACACGUGGGUGAUCUGCCCUGCACUUCGGGAUAAGCCUGGGAAACUGGGUCUAAUACCGGAUAUGACCUUCGGCUGCAUGGCCGUUGGUGGAAAGGUUUACUGGUGCAGGAUGGGCCCGCGGCCUAUCAGCUUGUUGGUGGGGUAAUGGCCUACCAAGGCGACGACGGGUAGCCGACCUGAGAGGGUGACCGGCCACACUGGGACUGAGACACGGCCCAGACUCCUACGGGAGGCAGCAGUGGGGAAUAUUGCACAAUGGGCGAAAGCCUGAUGCAGCGACGCCGCGUGAGGGAUGACGGCCUUCGGGUUGUAAACCUCUUUCAGCAGGGACGAAGCGAAAGUGACGGUACCUGCAGAAGAAGCACCGGCCAACUACGUGCCAGCAGCCGCGGUAAUACGUAGGGUGCAAGCGUUGUCCGGAAUUACUGGGCGUAAAGAGCUCGUAGGCGGUUUGUCGCGUCGUCUGUGAAAACUCGAGGCUCAACCUCGAGCUUGCAGGCGAUACGGGCAGACUUGAGUACUGCAGGGGAGACUGGAAUUCCUGGUGUAGCGGUGAAAUGCGCAGAUAUCAGGAGGAACACCGGUGGCGAAGGCGGGUCUCUGGGCAGUAACUGACGCUGAGGAGCGAAAGCGUGGGUAGCGAACAGGAUUAGAUACCCUGGUAGUCCACGCCGUAACGGUGGGCGCUAGGUGUGGGUUUCCUUCCACGGGAUCCGUGCCGUAGCUAACGCAUUAAGCGCCCCGCCUGGGGAGUACGGCCGCAAGGCUAAAACUCAAAGGGAUUUGACGGGGGCCCGCACAAGCGGCGGAGCAUGUGGAUUAAUUCGAUG